UACGUAGGGGGCAAGCGUUGUCCGGAUUUAUUGGGCGUAAAGAGCGUGUAGGCGGUCAGGUAGGUCCGUUGUGAAAACUCGAGGCUCAACCUCGAGACGCCGAUGGAAACCAUCUGACUAGAGUCCGGAAGAGGAGAGUGGAAUUCCUGGUGUAGCGGUGAAAUGCGCAGAUAUCAGGAAAAACACCCGUGGCUAAGGCGGCUCUCUAGUACGGUACUGACGCUGAGACGCGAAAGCGUGGGGAGCAAACAGG
rnacentral:rRNA from 1 species